AUUGAACGCUGGCGGCAGGCCUAACACAUGCAAGUCGAGCGGAUGAAGGGAGCUUGCUCCUGGAUUCAGCGGCGGACGGGUGAGUAAUGCCUAGGAAUCUGCCUGGUAGUGGGGGAUAACGUCCGGAAACGGGCGCUAAUACCGCAUACGUCCUGAGGGAGAAAGUGGGGGAUCUUCGGACCUCACGCUCUCAGAUGAGCCUAGGUCGGAUUAGCUAGUUGGUGGGGUAAAGGCCUACCAAGGCGACGAUCCGUAACUGGUCUGAGAGGAUGAUCAGUCACACUGGAACUGGAACACGGUCAAGACUCCUACGGGAGGCAGCAGUGGGGAAUAUUAGACAAUGGGCGAAAGCCUGAUCCAGCGAUGCCGCGUGUGUGAAGAAGGUCUUCGGAGUGUAAAGCACGUGAAGUUGGGAGGAAGGGCAGUAAGUUAAUACCUUGCUGUGUUGACGGUACCAACAGAAGAAGCACCGGCUAACUACGUG
rnacentral:rRNA from 1 species